rnacentral:rRNA from 1 species
CCUACGGGAGGCAGCAGUAGGGAAUCUUUCACAAUGGGCGAAAGCCUGAUGGAGCAACGCCGCGUGCAGGAUGAAGGCCUUCGGGUUGUACACUGCUUUUAUAAGCGAGAAAUAUGAUGGUAACUUAUGAAUAAGGAUCGGCUAACUACGUGCCAGCAGCCGCGGUCAUACGUAGGAUCCGAGCAUUAUCCGGAGUGACUGGGUGUAAAGAGUUGCGUAGGUGGCAUAAUAAGUAGCUAGUGAAAUCUGGUGGCUCAACCAUUCAGACUAUUAGCUAAACUGUUAAGCUCGAGACCGUUAGGGGUAACUGGAAUUUCUAGUGUAGGAGUGAAAUCCGUAGAUAUUAGAAGGAACACCAAUAGCGUAGGCAGGUUGCUGGGACGGUUCUGACACUAAGGCACGAAAGCGUAGGGAGCAAACGGGAUUAGAUACCCGAGUAGUC